rfam:Salmo salar isolate Sally breed double haploid chromosome ssa09, whole genome shotgun sequence.
CCCUGUAGCUCAGUUGGUAGAGCAUGGUGUUUGCAACGCCAGGGUUGUGGGUUUGAUUCCCACAGGGG